rnacentral:rRNA from 1 species
AGAACGAACGCUGGCGGCAUGCCUAACACAUGCAAGUCGAACGAGACCUUCGGGUCUAGUGGCGCACGGGUGCGUAACGCGUGGGAAUCUGCCCUUGGGUUCGGAAUAACAGCUAGAAAUGGCUGCUAAUACCGGAUGAUGACGUAAGUCCAAAGAUUUAUCGCCCAAGGAUGAGCCCGCGUAGGAUUAGCUUGUGGUGAGGUAAAGGCUCACCAAGGCGACGAUCCUUAGCUGGUCUGAGAGGAUGAUCAGCCACACUGGGACUGAGACACGGCCCAGACUCCGUACGGGAGCCAGCAGUGGGAAUGUGGACAAGUGGGACGAACGCCUGAUCCGAGCAAGUCGCCGCGUAGAGUGA